rnacentral:rRNA from 1 species
UAGGGAAUCUUCCACAAUGGACGAAAGUCUGAUGGAGCAACGGCCGCGUGAGUGAAGAAGGUUUUCGGAUCGUAAAGCUCUGUUGUUGGUGAAGAAGGAUAGAGGCAGUAACUGGCCUUUAUUUGACGGUAAUCAACCAGAAAGUCACGGCUAACUACGUGCCAGCAGCCGCGGUAAUACGUAGGUGGCAAGCGUUGUCCGGAUUUAUUGGGCGUAAAGCGAGCGCAGGCGGAAUGAUAAGUCUGAUGUGAAAGCCCACGGCUCAACCGUGGAACUGCAUCGGAAACUGUCAUUCUUGAGUGCAGAAGAGGAGAGUGGAACUCCAUGUGUAGCGGUGGAAUGCGUAGAUAUAUGGAAGAACACCAGUGGCGAAGGCGGCUCUCUGGUCUGCAACUGACGCUGAGGCUCGAAAGCAUGGGUAGCGAACAGGAUUAGAUACCUGGUAGUCCAUGCCGUAAAACGAUGAGCGCUAGGUGUUGGGGACUUUCCGGUCCUCAGUGCCGCAGCAAACGCAUUAAGCGCUCCGCCUGGGGAGUACGACCGCAAGGUUGAAAC